rnacentral:misc_RNA from 1 species
CAUCCACUCCAAGCCAUGCUAG